rfam:Marchantia polymorpha subsp. polymorpha scaffold1043, whole genome shotgun sequence.
GGUUCUAUGGUCUAGCGGUUAUGACACUGGACUCUGAAUCCAGUAGCCCGAGUUCAAUUCUCGGUAGAACCU